CCUUGACAUACUAAGAACUUUCCAGAGAUGGAUUGGUGCCUUCGGGAACUUAGAUACAGGUGCUGCAUGGCUGUCGUCAGCUCGUGUCGUGAGAUGUUGGGUUAAGUCCCGCAACGAGCGCAACCCUUUUCCUUAUUUGCCAGCGUGUCAUGCCGGGAACUUUAAGGAUACUGCCAGUGACAAACUGGAGGAAGGCGGGGACGACGUCAAGUCAUCAUGGCCCUUACGGCCAGGGCUACACACGUGCUACAAUGGUCGGUACAAAGGGUUGCUACCUCGCGAGAGGAUGCUAAUCUCAAAAAGCCGAUCGUAGUCCGGAUCGCAGUCUGCAACUCGACUGCGUGAAGUCGGAAUCGCUAGUAAUCGCGGAUCAGAAUGCCGCGGUGAAUACGUUCCCGGGCCUUGUACACACCGCCCGUCACACCAUGGGAGUUUGUUGCACCAGAAGUAGGUAGUCUAACCGCAAGGAGGACGCUUACCACGGUGUGGCCGAUGACUGGGGUGAAGUCGUAACAAGGUAGGCGUAGAUGA
rnacentral:rRNA from 1 species